AUUGAACGCUGGCGGCAGGCCUAACACAUGCAAGUCGAGCGGAUGAAGGGAGCUUGCUCCUGGAUUCAGCGGCGGACGGGUGAGUAAUGCCUAGGAAUCUGCCUGGUAGUGGGGGAUAACGUCCGGAAACGGGCGCUAAUACCGCAUACGUCCUGAGGGAGAAAGUGGGGGAUCUUCGGACCUCACGCUAUCAGAUGAGCCUAGGUCGGAUUAGCUAGUUGGUGGGGUAAAGGCCUACCAAGGCGACGAUCCGUAACUGGUCUGAGAGGAUGAUCAGUCACCCGGGAAAGGAGACACGGCCCAGACCCCCACGGGGGGCACGCGGGGGGAAUUUUGGAAAAGGGGGGAAAGCUUGACCCAGCCAUGCCGGGGGGGUGAAGAAGGUCUUCGGUUUGUAAAGCACUUUAAGUUGGGAGGAAGGGCAGUAAGUUAAAACCUUGCUGUUUUGACGUUACCAACAGAAUAAGCACCGGCUAACUUCGG
rnacentral:rRNA from 1 species